rnacentral:rRNA from 1 species
GACGAAGGAUGCAAGCGUUAUCCGGAUUCAUUGGGUUUAAAGGGUGCGUAGGCGGACUGAUAAGUCAGUGGUGAAAUCUCUUUGCUUAACAAAGAAACUGCCAUUGAUACUGUCGGUCUAGAGUAUAGAUGACGUUGGCGGAAUAUGACAUGUAGUGGUGAAAUACUUAGAUAUGUCAUAGAACACCGAUUGCGAAGGCAGCUAACGAAACUAUAAACUGACGUGAGGCACGAAAAGUGCGGGGAUCAAACAGG